CAAUAGCGUAUAUUAAAGCUGUUGCGGUUAAAAAGCUCGUAGUUGGAUUUCUGUCAAGUACAACUGGUCCGCCCUCCGGGUGAGCACAUAGUUUGGUCUUGGCAUCUUGCUGGAAAUUGUUGCUGCACUUGGCUGUGUGGCGCAGUGUCCAGCACUUUCACUUUGAGGAAAUUGGAGUGUUUCAAGCAGGCAAUGCCUUUGAACACAGUAGCAUGGAAUAAUUAGAUUGGGCUUUUGCUCCAAUUUGUCGGUUUCUGGAGCUGAGGUGAGAAUUAAUGGGGAUUGUUGGGGGCAUCCGAAUUUAGCCGUCAGAGGUGAAAUUCUUGGAUUUCUGGAAGACGAACUACUGCGAAAGCAUUUACCAAGGAUGUUUUCAUUGA
rnacentral:rRNA from 1 species